rnacentral:rRNA from 1 species
UACGUAGGGUGCAAGCGUUAAUCGGAAUUACUGGGCGUAAAGCGUGCGCAGGCGGUUUUGUAAGACAGUCGUGAAAUCCCCGGGCUCAACCUGGGAAUGGCGAUUGUGACUGCAAAGCUGGAGUGCGGCAGAGGGGGAUGGAAUUCCGCGUGUAGCAGUGAAAUGCGUAGAUAUGCGGAGGAACACCGAUGGCGAAGGCAAUCCCCUGGGCCUGCACUGACGCUCAUGCACGAAAGCGUGGGGAGCAAACAGG